ensembl:antisense Gm16740 predicted gene, 16740
GCCGCCACCCCCGCUCCGGCAGUGUGCAGGCCGGCGCCCACAGGUCCUGGCCGGGCUGGGCCGGCCACUUAUCACUGCCCCUUGCAUCGCAGUUCGGAAGCUCCGGAACCCUGCGUGUCCUUUCCCCCUCACCUAUUCCGGAGCGCUGCCGGCUUCGCUCUCACUGGGCCCGCCAGUUUGGUCCCGUUUCUUUCUCUAGUUAAGACUCCUUGCCAGCGGCCUCACUUUUCGGCCUUUUCACAUAUGCAUAUUUGGGGGGGCCCUUACCCCCCCUCACGGAGAAAUGGAGGCAAUAAAAUGGCGGACCCGGAAGUGAAGGCGCUGUGACUAUACGUCCUGGCGGAGGAAUCUGAAGGAAAUGGGUUAGCGGAGCCACUUUGCCCUUCUCUCAGGACCUCAACGCACCUCUGAGUCCGACUCCUUCCUACUGAGGACCUCGUGAGCUGGAAAAACGUAUACCGCGGGCAUCCUGAGCGGGACUACUUAGCGAGGCGCAGGAUCACCGAUUACGUGGCUUACGUGAGGGAUAGUUCCGGCAGGGGACGGACGCAGAUGGUAGUUUUGGCGCCAACCAGUGCAGCGCUCGGAGGAACUGGUUACUGGAAUUAUCCUCAUAGUGAAGUUUCCCUGUGAAGACUCAAAUCUGAUUUUCUGAGCAUUUCUACCCACAGCUGGAAGCAGAGCUGGAUAUUAAAGGAGCUACCUCUGAAACGAAUAAAUCCAAACUCAAGAAUCAUUUUCUUCCAGCACACAAGGAUCUUUUCCCUCUGAUCCAUGCUAGAGUAAAUCUAACAACAAAGCAAAGAGUUUGGAGGUACAGCAGGAGAGCCUUAUAUGGUGGUGGGAUUCCUGUGACCCCAGCAUCUGGCAAGUGGCAGCAGGAAGAUGAAGAAUUUGAUGUCAGCCUGGCUACAAGAGACCCUGUCUCAAAAAAUAAAGUGAGCAGAGACUAAGCU